rnacentral:tRNA from 1 species
UUUAUUAAAAAUUAAUACUUGAUUAAUCUCUCUCCAAAAUUCUAAUACUCCUAUCUAUGAUAUAAUA